rnacentral:rRNA from 1 species
UCAGCUUGUUGGUGAGGUAAUGGCUCACCAAGGCGUCGACGGGUAGCCGGCCUGAGAGGGUGACCGGCCACACUGGGACUGAGACACGGCCCAGACUCCUACGGGAGGCAGCAGUGGGGAAUAUUGCACAAUGGGCGCAAGCCUGAUGCAGCAACGCCGCGUGAGGGACGACGGCCUUCGGGUUGUAAACCUCUUUUAGCAGGGAAGAAGCGAAAGUGACGGUACCUGCAGAAAAAGCACCGGCUAACUACGUGCCAGCAGCCGCGGUAAUACGUAGGGUGCAAGCGUUAUCCGGAAUUAUUGGGCGUAAAGAGCUCGUAGGCGGUUUGUCGCGUCUGCUGUGAAAUCUGGGGGCUCAACCCCCAGCCUGCAGUGGGUACGGGCAGACUAGAGUGCGGUAGGGGAGAUUGGAAUUCCUGGUGUAGCGGUGGAAUGCGCAGAUAUCAGGAGGAACACCGAUGGCGAAGGCAGAUCUCUGGGCCGUAACUGACGCUGAGGAGCGAAAGGGUGGGGAGCAAACAGGCUUAGAUACCCUGGUAGUCCACCCCGUAAACGUUGGGAACUAGUUGUGGGGUCCAUUCCACGGAUUCCG